rnacentral:tRNA from 1 species
ACCCCUCUACCUGAGUGGUAGAGUAACGCCACGGUAAGGCAUAAGUCGUCGGUUCAAAUCCGACAGGGGGCU